rnacentral:rRNA from 1 species
UACGUAGGGCGCAAGCGUUGUCCGGAAUUAUUGGGCGUAAAGCGCACGUAGGCGGCUUUGUAAGUUAGAGGUGAAAGCCCGGAGCUCAACUCCGGAAUUGCCUUUAAGACUGCAUCGCUCGAAUCAUGGAGAGGUGAGUGGAAUUCCGAGUGUAGAGGUGAAAUUCGUAGAUAUUCGGAAGAACACCAGUGGCGAAGGCGACUCACUGGACAUGUAUUGACGCUGAGGUGCGAAAGCGUGGGGAGCAAACAGG